AAAUAAGAAGCAUUAUAUGCAUUUAAUUUCGACUUAAAAGAUGAGAUACACACUCCUUAUUUA
rnacentral:tRNA from 1 species